UUACUAUGACAACCAUCAYCAGAAACAUCACAACAUAUAUAGUAGACAUGUGACUUUUCUUUGUUGCUAUAGAGACGUCUGUUUGAUAAUCCAGCCAGUAAUCCUUACCAACCGCAAGUCUCCCAYGUCACUGCUCCUCAUCAAGAACCGCCAAAGCAGAUGCCUUAUGGUAGUGGAGUGGUCAAUCAAGCAAUGUAAUCGAAUCACAAAGCGAAGCAACGUUGGAUAAAGGUGGCAGAACAUUUGAUAAUUUCAGAAAUGAUUGCAGAUUGCGCAAUAUCGCCCCCAAAAUUUAUACCGUCUCUUCCCCUAAAAACACUGAACGAAAAUAAUCAUGAUUAAUAAAGCUUCAAUACUGGAUUUCUUGCACGACCCGCAAAAGUUUCUUCGAUAUCAYGUAUGCAUGUGCACUAGUAGUAAAUAUGAUAAAAUUGUAAGCUCGAGAUUUAUAUUAAUGGGACGCCAAAAUUUCACUUCAGAUCGAGCAUGUACGUACAAAUUAUUAAGUGCUCUUUCGAUCUACCACAAUUUGUUGUUAAAUAAUCUUUUAAGUUGUUUUUGAAAUAAUAAAACAGGGAUUGAAAAAUGA